GGCAGCCUGGAUGCCGAGGAAGCGGUUGUUGAGGGAAUUUACCUUGUUUUUCUUAUAUUUUGCCCUCAGACCACCCCGUCUUUUGACGUUUUGUCACGCUUCCAGUGUUCGGUUGUGCGGUUUGUUUGUUGUUUGGCACCUCUGAAUAUAGAGCGAUCUAACUGUGCCGUGGACUACAAAGAGAGACAAAGGCAGAAAAAGACAAGCUAAACCUUCCCAACCCCCUCAAGCAUUCAUCACGAGAGUUAAUUUCCCUGAAACUCACGUUGUCACGGACCAUCGCGUCUGCUGCCUCCGAUAUGG